CUUGAGAUUAAAAGAAGAGGAGAACAAAAAGAUGCAAACAGGAAGAAAAAAAUGUGUGCAAAGCUGGCUUUCAGUAAGAUUUCAGAAGAGAACUAACCUUCCCUUUGUGGAAAGCUGUGUGCCUCAUCUGAAGUUGAGCUUACCAAAGUGGGGAUAUGACAACCACACAUCCACCUUGCCAAGGGUCAGAAGUAUCACCAGUCCUUGCUGGUUGCUUCCAUCGUCUGUGAGGGCCAAAGCCAAAAUGAACAUGUGCCUUGCACUAAGAAAUCCCAGGAUUGUCACAACUUGUGCCAGCUGUUGAGGUUAUGACACCUGUGCCAGCAUCGCCAGCUCUGCCCACUGUCAUCUGUUCCAACUGUUCCAUCUGCACUGUUUGUACCAAUUCU